ensembl:lncRNA
AACGCAUCUCUGUGCCCGACUGAGACAUAAGAGCAGAAGCAGUUCUGAUUCAGCGAAGAAGUACAAAAUCAAUCUCCUUGCUUUGUGACCUUGGAUGAGGAAACUGAACAACAAAGAGGUUAACUGUUUUGCUUUGGGUGACCUUGAUACCCAGUGAAGAGGCUGAGAGAAGAACCUGGAGCAUCUGACCGGGAUGAAGCACCGACUUUAUGCUCCCAUGGGGUGUGCUUAACACCCUUCAGACUUAGCUUCCUUGUCUGUAAUUGGGGCCGUUCAUUUCCUUUUUUUUUUUUUUCGUUCAUUUCUAUACUCAGCCAGUUGGUGGUGAGUUUGCGUUUGCAAGAGAAUAUGAAUAAAGUAUCAAGCACGUUAUAGCCCAGUGCACAGUGGUUACCUGUUACCAUUGCUGUCUUUUUCC